UUGAACUCGCUGUGAAGAUGCAGUGUACCCGCGGCAAGACGGAAAGACCCCGUGAACCUUUACUAUAGCUUGACACUGAACAUUGAGCCUUGAUGUGUAGGAUAGGUGGGAGGCUUUGAAGUGUGGACGCCAGUCUGCAUGGAGCCGACCUUGAAAUACCACCCUUUAAUGUUUGAUGUUCUAACGUUGGCCCCUGAUCGGGGUUGCGGACAGUGUCUGGUGGGUAGUUUGACUGGGGCGGUCUCCUCCUAAAGAGUAACGGAGGAGCACGAAGGUUGGCUAAUCCUGGUCGGACAUCAGGAGGUUAGUGCAAUGGCAUAAGCCAGCUUGACUGCGAGCGUGACGGCGCGAGCAGGUGCGAAAGCAGGUCAUAGUGAUCCGGUGGUUCUGAAUGGAAGGGCCAUCGCUCAACGGAUAAAAGGUACUCCGGGGAUAACAGGCUGAUACCGCCCAAGAGUUCAUAUCGACGGCGGUGUUUGGCACCUCGAUGUCGGCUCAUCACAUCCUGGGGCUGAAGUAGGUCCCAAGGGUAUGGCUGUUCGCCAUUUAAAGUGGUACGCGAGCUGGGUUUAGAACGUCGUGAGACAGUUCGGUCCCUAUCUGCCGUGGGCGCUGGAGAACUGAGGGGGGCUGCUCCUAGUACGAGAGGACCGGAGUGGACGCAUCACUGGUGUUCGGGUUGUCAUGCCAAUGGCACUGCCCGGUAGCUAAAUGCGGAAGAGAUAAGUGCUGAAAGCAUCUAAGCACGAAACUUGCCCCGAGAUGAG
rnacentral:rRNA from 1 species